AUUGAACGCUGGCGGCAUGCUUUACACAUGCAAGUCGAACGGUAACAGGCCGCAAGGUGCUGACGAGUGGCGAACGGGUGCGUAAUGCAUCGGAACGUGCCCAGUCGUGGGGGAUAACUACUCGAAAGAGUAGCUAAUACCGCAUACGAUCUAUGGAUGAAAGCGGGGGACCGUAAGGCCUCGCGCGAUUGGAGCGGCCGAUGUCAGAUUAGGUAGUUGGUGGGGUAAAGGCUCACCAAGCCAACGAUCUGUAGCUGGUCUGAGAGGACGACCAGCCACACUGGGACUGAGACACGGCCCAGACUCCUACGGGAGGCAGCAGUGGGGAAUUUUGGACAAUGGGCGCAAGCCUGAUCCAGCAAUGCCGCGUGCAGGAAGAAGGCCUUCGGGUUGUAAACUGCUUUUGUACGGAACGAAACGGCUCUGGUUAAUACCCGGGGCUAAUGACGGUACCGUAAGAAUAAGCACCGGCUAACUGCGUG
rnacentral:rRNA from 1 species